UACGUAGGGUCCGAGCGUUGUCCGGAAUUAUUGGGCGUAAAGGGCUCGUAGGCGGUUUGUCACGUCGGGCGUGAAAACUCAGGGCUCAACCCUGAGCGUGCGUCCGAUACGGGCAGACUAGAGGUAUGCAGGGGAGAACGGAAUUCCUGGUGUAGCGGUGAAAUGCGCAGAUAUCAGGAGGAACACCGGUGGCGAAGGCGGCAUCCUGGACCGGCAUUGACGCUGAGGUGCGAAAGCGUGGGGAGCAAACAGG
rnacentral:rRNA from 1 species